AUUGAACGCUGGCGGCAGGCCUAACACAUGCAAGUCGAGCGGAGCGGCGGACGGGUGCGUAAUGCCUAGGACUCUGCCUGGUAGUGGGGGAUAACGUCCGGAAACGGGCGCUAAUACCGCAUACUAUCAGAUGAGCCUAGGCCGGAUUAGCUAGUUGGUGGGGUAAAGGCCUACCAAGGCGACGAUCCGUAACUGGUCUUAGAGGAUGAUCAGUCACAUGGGAACGGAGACACGGUCCAGACUCCUACGGGAGGAAGCAGUGGGGAAGAUUGGAAAAUGGGCGAAAGCCUGAUGCAGCCAUGCCGCGUGUGUGAAGAAGGCCUUCGGGUUGUAAAGCACUUUCAGCGAGGAGGCGUUACUCGCAGAAGAAGCACCGGCUAACUCCGUGCCAGCAGCCGCGGUAAUUC
rnacentral:rRNA from 1 species